GUACCCGCACCGCCUGCUCUCUGCGCCAGCACAGCCAGGGUCUCGUGCAGGUGGGCACGGAGCUGGGCGACGCGCUGCACUCGGAGGACAGCAGCUGCGGCGCCUCGCCGCCGCACCCCGCCGACCCCUGAUCAAACGAACUGAACGCGUAUUGGUCGCUCGACGUGUCUCGGUUCUACGCCUGCUUCUGCUAGCGACUCACCAAAAUGAGGCUACAUACUGACGCCAUUGAUUUGUAAUGGGGGCCGUUCUCGAGCAGUGGUGGUGUGAAGUGAUCAUGUAUGUAACCUGAACUAUGUUGAUACUCAAUGACAGUUUAAGUUUUAAUAUUUAAUUUUAUAUAGAAAAGAUAAUAUUAAGAGUCUGAAAUAAAUUACGGCUAUUACUAACGUAUGAUGGUCUACUGAAGUCAUGACAAUUAAUUGUGUCUUACGGGUCGAUUAACUAAGACACGAUUAUAAUUAGAUGAACAAAUGAUAUAUAUCUUUAUUUAUUUGGAGUCCUCGGGAACCAGUAGGUGACAAAGAACCUGGGUCAGAUUUUUCGUGUUUUUUUUCUAUGAUUGCAUGUAGUUUAGCGAUCCUUAAGGCUUAGCUGGUUAAAUAUAUGACUUCCAUAAGUAGACAUUUCUUGCGAAUUGGAUCAUUUUACCUAAAUUAAAUACAAUUUUCACAGUUUAUUUUUUGAUUAUAAGAUUUUGGUGAUUCUACCUGUAAGAAAUAAUCCUUAUAUUUUUUCAAUUGAAUGAAACCCUAAAUUUCUCACUUCACAACACCCACUCGCUUUCCUAUGUCAGUCCGCCAAACUCAUGCUAAAUUCGUCCUUAGCCCGUUUACUAUAAGGCAUGUCUCGUUUGUGCGGACUGCCAUCACAUUUAUUUUGAGGCUCAGGGCUAUUAACUGCAAAAAUCGAAGUUCGUAAAUUUCGAGAAACUAUCUCUGUCACUCUAAUUACGCCUUAAUUGGAGUAAGAGAGAACGAUGCCCGUUUGCGAACUUCGGUGUUCGGUAGGCCUUCUGACCCACCUAUUUCUUCGAGUCUUAAUGGGUUUAGUUAGGUUCCAAAAAUAAUGUUUUUCUUAAAAAACGCGGCUUAUAUUGAACAAGUGAUGACAUUAAUAUAUACGUAGGUAUUUUUAAGUGUGUAUAUUAUAACCCUGGAAACGCCUUAUGGUCUAAUUUGGAAUCGCAAAAAAAAAUUAAACAUGUUAUAAGGCAAUUUGUAAUUGUUUAAGACUCGAAAGAAAACGCACUAGUUAGUAAAAGUUAUUCCUAAAAUAUCAGAUCUUAAAUUACGUAUUGGUGAUAAAGUUUUUUAUUUAUUUCGGGGUAAAUAAAUAAUGGAAUAAAAUUGUAUAAGAGAUACUAACAAGAUAUAUUCAGUUCAUUAUAGAAUGCGUAAUUUAUGAUUUAAGCGAAAUUGAAUCUUAUAACGGUGACAUUUUUAAAUAUAACCACAUAAAAGCGACAUCUCUGUUGCAAUAUAUCAAAUAUAGGUUAGGCUGUAUUUAUUUAUACGCAAUAUGUUAAAAGCAUAAUUAUUUGGUUCCUAAAAUGUACAGCAAGGUAUUAUAUACAGACAUAUAUCAUAUGUAGAAACUCUUAUUGAGAAUGCUGUACGGCUAGGAUGGUCGCCUCUUUAUUGUCCGUCACGUUCUAACAAGUAUGUCAGUGCGAAACGCAUGAUAUGACGAUAAAAACGCGACCAUGCUAUCCCAGCUGUAGGGCUAACAUGGUCGGCUCUUUAUUAUUUGUCACCAUGCCUGUCACGCUCUAACAAGUAUGUAAGUGCGAAAGUGACGGGCGUAAUGACAAAUGAUAAAAAUGGAACCAUGCUGCCACCGCUGGAGACGUGCUAAGUAUCGAUUUGCAAUGACUGUGAAAACCUAUGGACUGUAUUGAAAGAUAGGGUUACCGCCUUCGUGCCUGUGUUUUUGACGUUUGAAAAUAUUGCAAAAUUGAUACUUUUUACAUUUGACGAAGAAAGGAAAGUGAUGGUUUUUCGAGUUUAAGUAUGUAUGUACUUAAUCGGGAGGAUUGGAAGUCUAGGGGGAGAAGGACUAUUUAGGCUUAUAAAAAAGUAUGUAUGGUCUAGUGUUGGUAGGAACUAGAGCUUUUUGAGUCGGAAUUUAAAGAACUCGACUCGUUUUUACUAGACUCUGCGCUUAAAUAACUUCUGAGUCUUUUAAGCUCCGAGGCGUCCUUUAUUGAGUCUUUUUUUAAGAGCAAUUCAAAAGGACUCGAGCCUCCGAAUAAAGACUCCGGCAAUUUUAUAGGUUUUAACUAAAUAACAGUAAAGAAAUUAAUCGUUAUUGUAUGACUUUGUACCUAAUUGACAAAUAUUACUUAAAGAAAAUGCAUUACGAAAUUUUGCAAACAAAAAGUUCAUUGAAAAGGACUGAAGUCCCUAUAAAUGACUCGGAUCACUAACAAGUUGAAAUAAACUCGAGUUUAGACUUAAUUUAAGAGUGGAAAACUGUGUCGAGUUUAAAACAGAGGACUCAAACGAAUCGAGUCUUAACCAACACCAGUAUCCACAUUUCAACAUGGGACCUGUUUGUCUCCGAAAAGGCUUGGCGGGUUUGAACAUGCUAGGUGUUAUUUGAGUCAUGUUUUAUAUUAUCGAUGUGAUCUGUCUGUUUUUAAUCCCAUUAACGUUUUAACAUAUUCAACGAUAGUGUGACACCAUGCACAUGGGUCGCAUAGGUGGUUCUAAUAUCUAUUUUUGGCAUGGAUAAGGACUUGUUGAUUUAAUGGCAUUCAUAAACUUCUAUUAAAGUUAAUAAGCCGCUAAUAAUCGUUUGUCCCUUUCCGGCGUAUUGGUAUGAUGGAAAGGGACAAACGAUUAUUAGCGGCUUGUUAACUUUAGUAGACGUUUAUGAAUAAGGGGGUUAGUGUUUAAAACACAUGAGUUGUAGAGAUUUGAAUCGGUUGAGCAGUCUCAGGCGUCUCAAUAUUAGUGCGAAUAUAUCAAUUUAAACUUCCAUCUAUGAUAAUAAUAUUAGUCCGCGCAUUUCGAUGAAGUUACGGACGGACCCAAGGACAUUAUUCUUGACAGUUAUGGAAAUUAUUCAGAAAUUAGGCAGCUAAUUAAUUUGAUUUAACCAACACAAAACAUUAAAAUUAAGACUAUGUAUUGUAUUUUUGUUUAGGUAAGUUUGACCCAAACAUCUUUUGCGUACUUACCUAUAAAAACUAAAAGAAUAGCUCAAUGUACAGUCAGCAAAGUUAUUAGCUUAGCAUAUCUGCAUACAAAUAUGUAAGUAGGAGUGGUAUGUGUCGUGUUGACCGAACGUUACUUAGAAUUGACCACUAACCAUUACAAAUUGAACCGUAACCGUAACGGACGGUUAUAAUUUACGGUUCAAUUUGUAAUGGUUAAUAACACUGGUAUGUGUGUAUCUUCUGCAGUCGGUCCCUCAAUGCUGAGGAUCGUGACAUUUCCUGUUGAAGACUAGAUUCCGCCAUAGGCUUCUAUUCCUCGCCAAUCGCAUGGCCUCGUGCAGUUUUAAUUGCAUAGGCGCAGUGAUUUGAGCACACCAUCUAGUAGGGGGAGGGCCUUGAGGUCUGGUGCCUUCAACUUUGCCCGUCAUAAUAACUCCAGGCUACCCGGGGAGCGGCGUGAGAGAUGUCCGAAGGAAAUUUAACACGAGACAUUGAAUAAUCAGCUAGUCUUGUAGCGUUGUUAGAAUACAAAAUAUUUGUUUCGUAAGGAAGUUCGAUUUUAUGUCAAGUAUUUUUUCCUUGGGUCUGUUCGUGUAAGAUUGUGAACCCGAAGUGGCUUGUAGGUCAAUUAGAAUAGAAUGAUGCCGUCGACGUGGAUUUUAUAUAUAGUAAAAUUAACAGAAAUAGAUUACGUUAAAAAUAAUGAUGACUUUUGAGCAGUUGAUGAAAAAUUAAUACAGUUUUUUUACGUAGUAACUUGUUGACAAUAACUGAGAGUUGUCACAGACUCAUUCAAACCUUUCGCGGAAAGUUAACUGUAAUUUUAUGUUUGAAAGGAAUUAUUUCUUAUCGACAUAACUGCUCAGUUGCUCACAUAACGAUUUAUGAAAAAAGAAGGCGGGUGAGGCUUACUUGCUUUUAGAACUAAACAUACGAUAAUACUCGCUUAGCUUACCAUGAGCGCUCGGACGCCAACCCCUACCCAUACGACGUUAGGACGUUGAACUAAAAUACAGUCAGUAGUCACUAAAAUACAGGGAUGUACCAUUCCGUAGGAUACUUUCCCUUUUGUAUUGUGAAACAUUUCCCAUAAUCGGUACAUCACUAUCGUAGCAUAAAUCGAAAAUAAGUUUGAAAAUCGAUUAACUGUAGGGUUGUCUACACGGUGUCUGAGUGGCUUGUUAAUACCAUUGUGUACCGCCGAAUGUAUAAUACUUACAUUAUUUUUUUUACACAUUUUAUUGUUAGUAGGUUAAUAUUUCUGUAUUAUGUACAGUGCAAUAUUUUUAUUUUAUAUUAAAACCAGCUCUGCUGGCCGUAGCUUUUUGAACGUAAAUUAUUAUUCUCUGAUAGUCUCACACAGCGACUUUUUGAAGGCAGAAAGAUAAUCAAAAUCUUUAUGACCGCCUUUUUUUUUUUACUUUUCCGCUAUUGAUAUCUCGAGGGUUUAAUUUAUUAUAAAUAACCCAUUCAUAUUUUGUAUAAGAUUUGAAAAUAUGUCACUUGUCACUGUGACAUAUUUUCAAAUCUUAUACAAAAUAGGUAUGAACACAAGAAGUCGCUGUGUGAUGUGUCGUUACAACACUGCCGAUAUUAAAUAAGUGUACAACGCAUACAUACUUUGAAAUAUAGAUUAACUUACAAACAAGUUAUAUUUAACAUUACGUUCAAAAUAAGUUAAAAGUGAUAAGCCAAAUGAGGGUUUCACUUAAAGCCCUUACAUACAUAUUUAACAAAUUUAGUAUACGCGGAUUCGACGGACGAAACUCAAAUGCGAAAAUUAUUCGAACGUGCGUACUUCGCUCCGUAGCGAGUCCGUCUUAGGGUGAACAUCCAUUAGAGAUGGCGAGAUAAAAAUACAUCAUUAGAAAACACGCGUGGCAAUGCAUUACGUCAUAUGGCUCUGCUAUUCCGCUCAAGUUUGCUGGAUGUUCAAUAUUUAGGCAGUCAGAGACCGACUGCAUCCAAGCUGUAAAUUGUAUAUGAAUUGCACACAUGUUGCAGUCUGGAUGCAGUCUUGUGUCGGCUCUUCACGCUACGCCCAAACACCUUUGGAUCGUUCCCAAACUUUCCGAAUCGACAAUAAUCCAUACGUAGCGUGCGCUAGCGUUAGUUGGUCUGUCAUCGGACAAUUAAUUAUAACUGUAUUUUAACUCAAUGUGGUACAGCCAACCUUAAUAUGCUACUGGGGUGAAUUUAAAUCUUUGUACAUAGUUAAGUCAUGUGGGAUAAGAGAAACAUAGUUUAGAGUCAGACCAAGCUAAGUUGGCUGCGAUUUUGAAAGCCCAUCCUUUGCAAGUGUUAAGUAAAUGUCAUAAUUUAUAGAAGUUUAACGUUGAAAAUAACACAUGCACUGUCUAGGCUGAGCUAGGGUUCCCUACUAGUAUUGAUCUUGCCCCAAUAUUUGUCUCACACCAUCUAACCUUAUACCUUAAUUCAUCCACAACUUCAUUUUUAUGAAGACCUUUUGAACAUUAAUAUUGUUGAUGAACUACAUUUAUAAUUACGUACAAACAUUUUUAAAUUCACUCACUAUGGGAUCUUGUAAUUUCAGUAAAUAAAAAUAAUAUUAAAUAUUUAACUUGUCAUGUGACUUCCAUAGGAGCAUAUAAAAAAAUCAGGUUGCAAUUACUUAAUAAGUAACCGAUUUUAUCAACUUACUAAUAUGAGGUAGUAAUUUCUUGAAUAUGAGCCUGACUACUGUUAAACAGGUCCAUACUGCGCUACGAACCCAUAAAUACCCUUUUAACCUUUUUGACGCCAGUGACGGAUGUAUCCCUACCGUAGUUCCAACGCCGAAGACGGAUUAAUCCGUCACAGACCACAGAACACCAUAGACUAAGAGCAUAUGUAUGGAAGGUGGAGGUAAGGAAUGCAAUCUCCAGUGUCCAGUUGCCAGCUAUAAAUAAUACUUCCAAAACUCUCCAGAGUAGCACUAGAGUAGCUAAGAACCUAGGCGUUAUUGAUAGAGUGAAGAGCGCUGUGUAUGCUUUGAACUUUUUUUUUUCAAAUAUUCUUAGUAUAGUACCUAUUUAAGGUUUUUUGACGGACACUUUUGGUACAUGGAGAUUGCGUUCCUUACCUUCCAUAAGCAUAUGUACUUCGGUGACGUGGCUGUCACUGUUUUUUAUACAACAAUCGUGGUAAAUACGAGUUCAAACAGCAACUUUUGCCACAACUGUCACUAGGAUUGUCAAAUGCUCGUUGGAUCCAAGGAACUAACAAUUAUUAAGUUGGUAGAAUUGGUUUCCCAAUUCUUCCGUUACCAAAAUAACUGUCACAUUUAAUCUUUAAGUCUAUCUUAUAAUUAUAGUCGAUUGCAUGAUCUAAUUUAUUAGUUUAGUUAAUUUACUGCACGUAUGCUUCGUCUUAUGAUUUUAUUACUAAAACCUCGAGUGAGUUUUGUAAUUUAUCUACUUAUAAGUUAUUUAGAUUGGAGUUUUAAGUUUUAUAUGCAUAAAUAGUAUAAUAAAAUAUAUCUCAAUAUAUAAAAUCAGAAUGUCACUAUAAUUCGUUAUUAUAGUAUUAAUUGAUAUUAAACGUAAGAUAUAAUUGUAUAAUUAUUUUUUAACAAUCUAGUCUUUUUGUAUGACCCUAAUGUAUUAUUGUGACUAUGAUUUUGUCUUUUCAAGUUAUUUUAAGGGUAACAUUAGUUUGCUUAGAGAAAUGAGAUUUUAGCCUACGUUAUAUUCUGUUGUCGGCCAUUUUGUUGACGCGCGAGUUCAAGAUGGCGGACGCUGUAGCUUCGAAUUCAAUUGUAGAACGAGUUGUACACAUAUUUUAUGUUUUUAUGAGUCGACGGACAUAUUUACGAAUAAUUUAUCCAAAGAUCUGUCUAUCAUUCUUGUUUUAUUCGACGUGUAUGGACGAAAUGUUUAAUAACUUAAUUAGUAAAAUUAGUUUUUUAAAAGUAUAUUUAAAAAAUUGUACCAGAAAGAACUGAUUGUAUAUUGCUUUUCUAUAAUUGUGUAUAAUUAUUAUGUAUUGGAGUAUGUAAUUCGGAUAUAUUGGCAGAUAAUAAAAAUAGAGGGCGCCAUUCCAUAUGCACAGUCGUUGUCAAAGAUAUGUAUAUAUUUUCGCCUUAUAUCAAUGGUUGAACAUUUUUAAGCAUAUCUUUGAAGUCGACCCUACCGUAGAUAAAUUGUUUGGACGCGUGAUCAUAGACUAAGUACUGACAGACGCGACAUAAUUUCCAUAACGCAUUUACCUUAUUAUUGUCAAUUGAUAUUAUAAGUAUUAUAACAGAAAAUUAUUCGAAAAGUUGAAGUUCCAUUGGCAGAUAGUGUAUAACCUAAUAAUAUGUAAAUCUCAAAAUUUGUUGAAUAUAAAUUAUCCUAGUGUAAGGACUGUAUUGUUAAAGAAGUUUUUAUAAUCCCCACGAAAAUUGUACCGAUUAGGAGUAGAUUUUGCUAAAUUUAACAAUAAAAUUGCAUUUUAUAAGCAAUUAUAUCACCGGAAUUCGAUUUUUGCUUUGAAUAUCUAUAUUAAUUUGUGUUAAAAGGUAAAACAGCUUUGAAUACAAAUUAAUGUAAGUUGCUUUUGACUAAAGCUUGUUAUACUAGGUGCCAUCUACGCAGUUACAUGUAGAACACGAAAGAUGGAGUGAUUACUGACUUAUUUUGGAAAGCAAAUGUAAGAAUUGUUUCGAUAUUUUCCUACGCAUACGAUAGAUAUUUUAAUGAAUUUUGAAACAGUGACAAUAAUUUCUACGUUUAUUAAAAACAACACGAGAUUUUUUGAAGUUAUUUAUGACAUGUAUUUUGAAUAACCUUAUUUUAUCGAUUAUCGCAUUUGAAAAUCAAUAUUUCUUUAACUCCACUUGUUUAAAGUAUUUUAAAGUAUAUAAAUGACCUACUUACAAAGGAAUAACAUUUGCUUUCCAAACGGAAACAUUGUAUAAUGAAGUAAGCAAAUUAUACAAUAGUUUCCAAGCGGCGGUAAGCAUAUUAGGUGCAUUUGAAAAAUCAUUUAAUUGUUUACCUUGUUUUUAUAUAAUAAGGUUCACAUUUGAAUGGGUUUUCUUAAACGGAUACAAGAAAUAUGGAUAGCGCUGCUGAAAUAUAUGGUGUAUGGUUAACAUCAAUCCAAACGAAUUGCAAUAGAAGUUCCAAAUCAUAUUUCGGUUUUAUUGAAGUAUUUUUAGGCGAAUAGUGGCAUGGGCUCACGGUCCUAGCCAUAGGCUAUAGGCCAUACUCAGGCCGAUGAAAUUUAAAUCAUAUUCAAUUCGAAUAGAGUUGUAUUUGCUUUGUUAUAUUCAACUUUCAAAAAGAAAAAGAAAAUUAACUCUAUUUCCUACACGACAGGUUCAAAUUGCAGUAGCAAAGUUUGGAAUUCUCAUUUGGCUGACCUUAGGAUACGGACGGUUAAUUGGAGCAUUAAGAUGUGUUUGGUGUUAACUGUACACAAUACGAAAUAUAGCAGUUUUAUGAGUAGCCGACGCGAUAUCUUCCUUGUAUUUAACAACAUACCGAUAUGUUAUAAUUUGUAUGUAAAUCUAAAUUAUUAACUAAUAUUAUAUUGCAAUUACAUGAAAUUAUCUCAAUACUUAAUUAUUUUAUGUAAAUAAUAAAGAAACAUUUGAACGAAA